CCUUUACCAUCGUUGAUGGUGUUGCUCCCAUGAAGAGGUACGUAAAUCCAAUUUUACUUUACUUUUCUCUGUGCUUUUUGGUUUAAACAUAUAUUUACUAAAUUCGAAAAAGAAUAAAAAAUAUAGAAAUUGGAAGGCUAAUAAAAAAAGAUUACUUGAAAUGUUGCAGCUUUGAGGAAUUUGGAGAGAAAGCAGCAGAAGGAGGAAAUGGCUGCAAAUGCGGAUCAAACUGCACCUGUGACCCUUGCAAUUGUUAAGAUAAUUCUCUUGUGAUUCCACAAUAAUGUGUGUGUUUUCUGUAAUAAUAAGGAUAAAACUACAGCUAGCCAUGGAACUGAUUGUCAGUUCUUAGGUUUGUUUGUUCUGAUCACUUUCCUGUUUGUUUCUCCAUCUGAUAUAUAUUUCUGUAGUGUGAUUUGGGGUGUAACAGAAACGUAUCAUAUAUAAAUUAUAAGUUUGUUAAUUUGUUCCUUUAUUGCCUCUGAAAUCUCUCAUACUAUUUCUUUUGCAGUACCGUAUUUUUCAUCUCUGUUAAUAUUUUUACUUCAAUAAUAUUGAAGUAUAAAGCAACGUAGUUAAUAUUGGACACGAAAUUGCAAAUGCAAAUUUGAAAGAUCAAAACGGAGAAAGUUUGCACUUUUGUUUUAACAAUUAUCAAAAGUUGUCACAUUUAUGACAUUCGAUUUGUGGAAUUUGCUAAUAAAUCACGACCCAUGCUCCUGUGCCUUCUUUUUAGAGGGGCUUAACUUUGACGAAUAAUUGGCGCGCUAUUUUGGUAUUGUUGAUGUAAAAUUACUAGUACUAAUGUUUAGUACAUGUUCAUUCGAGCUAAUAGACUAAAUUAAUAAUCAAGUCAUUCAAAGUGUAAUUAGCACCAAACCGUAAAUGGUUAAGUGAUAAGUUAAGGGAAACACAUGUAUUAAUUAACUAUGCUUUAGUGAUAACUACGUUUGUGUAGACAUGUGUCAUGUAUUUAUUGGAUUGAUAUAAACAUAUGUGUAGACAUGUGUCAUGUAUUUAUUGGAUUGAUAUAAACAUAUGAUACGAAUAAGUAUUUACUGAAAUAUCACCGAGGAGCAGCUAGACUCAAAUUAGAUGGUAAUGUUCUUCCUUAGGAUGUUGUUUUGUUGUCAUCUAAGCUUUACCAGUUGAAAAUCCUAGCAUCAAAGUGAAAAGAAUACUAGGUAAUUUUCUUAUUUAGAAAACAUAAAAAUACUAAGUGUUUCUUCGCAUUUGCUUUAAUAUUGAAUGGCAAAAUUACCGGGUACAUUUAUCGAUAGGAGGCCACAAAUACCCAAUGAUAUAGACUAGUUGUGCAAAAGCUUUAUUGGCCACCACCGUUAUAGAAAGAAAAAAAAGAAGCUUUCUUUUUUGACUUUGGAAUUAGGUUGCCUACUUAUUGUUUAGCACGUUAUGAGCAAACAAAUAUUAGUUUCAUUUUCUGAGCUCUCAAUUGAGUUGAAAUGAUAGAAAGACGGUUUCUUAUACAUAAGCAACACUUCAUAAAUCAUAAAGUUUAAAGAAGUUAAUGUUGUACACGAACUUGAUGUUGUAUAGUAUAUAUGAUUAAAUUAUAGUCCAUGAUGUCAUGUAGCCAAUCAGAUUAGCAAAUUGUAGUUGUGGUAGUAAAAGAAGAAUCUUCAAACUUUUUAUCGUGUUAGAAAUAGUGAUAUGCUUCCUCUUUCGUAAAAGAUAUGUAUUCUCCAAAAGCAAAAGGGAUGAUUGAUGAAUACCAUCUUCGACGGCUGAAAAUAUAGAGCAUAAAAAGGUCUUUUUAUGAGCAUCUCAUGGUUUUUUAUUGUCUGAAGUUCACUGGUCUAAGUGAUUCAAAUUCGUGCUAUUAUGGGAAAUUUUAAUAUUUCUUAUUAAAAAGACUUUAGAUUUCUAAUUAAGGACGAAAAAAUAUUUUCUCGUAAAAAAUAUAAUGAGAGCUAGCUGUAGUAUGUAUUCUCCAAAACCAAAAGGGAUUGAUGAUUGAUGAAAAUCAUCUUGGACGGCUGUAAAUAAGAAGUAUAAAAGGGACUUUUUAUGAACAUCUCAUUGGUUUUUUUUAUUAUCUGAAAUUUAUUGGCCUCACUUAUUUAAAUUUGUGCUAUAAAAUUUAACUCGAGAUCUUUGGUUAAUGAGUCAAAGAGACCUUUACUAUUCCAUCUAUUAAAGAGAAUUUUAUUUUCAGAACUUAAACUCGAGAUCUCUAGUUAAGGACGAAAAGAUCAAUAUUAUUCCGCCAUAACCUUUGGUGGUACGAGUACAUAUCUCAUGCUCAUUUUACGGCUCUUUUAUCCCUUUUUAAAAUGCCUACCUGCUAGUUCAAUUUUUUUAUAAUUGUUAAAUCUACGAACCCCUUCAAGGUCUUGUGACUAUCAAAAUAAUAUGAUAUGGAGAAUUUAACAAAGAUCCUUUUCAUUGGUUGCGGAGUUUUUCAAGAAUCUAAAACUCCAAAUAAGCAUAGUUGGACUGAUUGAGACGGAAAAAGAACAAUUGGUCUUGUUGAGGAUUUUAGGAAUUAUUUAAUUGCACAAAAUAAAUGGUCUACGUUUAUCAAAAGCGAGGGGAAUCAAAUUAUAUAUAAGAAAGUCGCUCUCUACAAGUCUCCAACAAUACCAAUUGGAUAAUGUUAUUUAGUAGGCGUUUGGACAUAAGAAUUGUAAAAUUCGGAAAAAUGAUAAAAAAAAAAAGUUUAAAGUGAAAAUGGUAUUUGAAAUUUAGAGUUGUGUUUGGACAUAAAUUUCAGUUUGGGUUGUUUUUGAAAUUUUGUGAGUGAUUUGAGUAAAAAUUUUGAAAAACAGUUUUUUGCAGUUUUUCAAAUUUUCGAACAUUUCCAAAAUGCAUUUUCAAGUGAAAAUUGAAAAUUUUAUGAACAAACGUUGAUUUCGGAAAAAAACUGGAAAAAUCUUCAACCAAAUUAUAUGUCCAAACGGGCCCUUAAUAUGGUAAAGCGAGAAAAGUCUAUAAAUCCUAGAUUGAUGCCAUCCCAAAUGUCAGUGUUUAGAGUUGACAAUGUAACCUUGCGUUGUGAAGUUACCUGAAAGGGUGUAAUACAUAAGGGUAAAUAUUUUGAACUAAUAUUCCUCAAACUUUAAAUAGGAUGGCACUUUAACUACUUGCUGAUACGAUGAUCAUGAUUAGGGGUGUGCAAACAAAAUCGAUAAACCACACCAAAUUGAUAAUUUGAGUCAAACCGAAGAAAAAAAACUCGAUUGUAGUUUGGUUUGGUAUUGGAAAAAAAAAAUCGGCCAUAAUUGGUUUGGUUUGGUUUUAACUAAAAAAAAGUCAAAUCGAAACCAAACCAACCCGAUAGUACAUUUAUACAAAUUUUAAAAAUACUUUAUACAUAUAAAUAUUUAUUGUAAUUUAAUUUAUUAAUACUUCUUAAAUUGUUUUCAUAGUUUUAUCUUUUGACUAUUAUUUCAAGUUUGGACUUAACAUUCUUGAAUGUAAAUAAAUUAACUUAACAUUCUUGAAUGGUAAAUAAAUUUAUAACUCAUAAAUGUAGUAACUCAAACAAAGUUCAAAUCAAUACUAAUGCUAACAAAAGAAAUUCAUGAAUUCAACACUAGGAAUGACGAUAGUGUUGAAUAUCUAUAUUUUAUGUUUACAUUAGUUUAUAAUUAAAAUGCAUAGCUUAGUUCUUUAGUGCUUAGUUAUGUAACUAAUAAUACUUAUUAGCUAUACUUAUUUUAGCAUGACUUAUAUAUAGUAUUUUUAGAUUAUGUUAAUUUUCAUUAUAGGUUAUUAAUUAGCAAUAUUUGAUUUAUGUAAUUUUAUUAUCUUUGUUAUUGAAUAUUUUAGUAUAAUGCUAUGACUUAUUUCAUAUUAUUGUGUUAUUUUCUUGAAAAAUAUAUUAUAUAGUUGUAUCUUACUAGGACUAAAGAAAUAUUUGGAGCACAAGUUGCAUAUUUUGUGCUAUGAAGACUUUACCCGAAAAAACUCGAAAACCCGAAAACAAAAUCGAAAAACCCGAGAAAAAUCGAGAUUGAAAAAUCCGACUUUGUUGGUUUGGUUUGGUUUGUAAAUUUAAAAACCUAACACUAUUGGUUUGGUAAUUGAAAAAUCCGAAUCAACCCGACUUAUGUACACCCCUAAACAUGAUCUCAAACUCUUAAAACAUAGGAGUAGUAAUCUCUUUUUUUCUCAUUAACUAUAGGGAUGUUAUCUAUAAAAAAGUACAUCAUUCCCAUAACCAAAAUUCGAGACCUUUUACUUAAGAAUGAAGUAACCUUUAUCAGUUCACCACACCUCUUGGUAGUAAUCAGUUUAGUUAAUUAAAUUGUAUCCAAAUGCUUUUAUAUCUUUUAUUUCCUUAAUAAAAAUUGAUAUUUGGUCAUUUACUUAGCUUUUUUAGUAUAUUUGUUUUCAUUUUACACCAGUAUUUCAUAACCGCAUUGGGGGUCCGAUACUCCAAAUUCGAGCCACAUAAUGCCUAUUAAAAGGAGAAGGCCAUCUUACUAGAACUUUUUUCAUCCUCGUGGCUCAAACAUAAGAUCUUUGAUAAGGGUGGAAGAAUCCUAUAUAUUCAUUCCACCACAACUCUGGAUGAUUUAUCUGGUUUAGUUUCUGUUUAGAAAAUAUCUUCAUUCUUCUAUUUUUUGUUAAAAUGACUAAAAGUUAUCCCUAUACAAGGGGGCGAAGCGUUAAGAAGAGAAAGUAUAUCGCGAUACAAAAUAAAGUGGUGGCUAGUACACUAAGCUUAAAUCAACUAUUGUUCAAAACAUAGAGCCUUUCUUUCUUAGUCGUCUGGUUUAAUAAGUGAAUUUCGAUAUGCUCUUAAUAUUUAGUUUAAAGUAUAUAUAUUUUUACGCAUAUUGCCUCACAUUUUACUCAUGUUUCGUAGACUUCGGAUGUGAAAUUUAAUAAUUUGUGCUAAUUCGUAAUAUUACUAUGUGUAGCAAUUAUCCGGAGGCAAUAUAGGGCGAAGGUGCGAGAUUGGAGGCAAAAAGGAGCAAAAUAGGAAAAUUGCCACAGAGUAGCGCCCAGGCUAGCGUGGGACGCUACCUGUGGCAGUGAAGUCAGAGUGAAAAAAAUCCCAGUGCCAGGGCUAACACCCCAUGCUACCCUGGGCGCGGGUGACGGGAAAAUUCUCCUAGUUCGCCCAGGACAAAGUUAUUUUGGCCCAAGAACUCCCCAACUCGUAUAAAAGCAAGACUAAGCCUAUUUUGAGAGGGGAGACGUGACUUUGAGGAAAAAAUACACACAAGGAACAUCCGGGAGCGAGGAUAUCUCAGGUUUCUUCAUCCUUUCUUAGUAUUCUCAAUUAUUCAACACUUGUGAAUUUGUUUUAAUCUUAUCAUGAGUGACUAAAACACAUAGUUCUGGAGUUGUAAUUUAGCCAUGAAUAUUGUUGUUUGACGUUGACUUAACCUUGAUUAGAAUUUUCUAAUAUAUGGUUAUUUCUUCAAUUCUGUGAUUAACUGCUUAAUUGUCUGGCCAACAGUUAGGUUGUAUUUACUAUCUGUGCUAUGCUUGGUAAAGUUACGUCUAGAUUAGAGAUGAAUUGAAGAGGGCAUGAUCUUAACUCUAAGUGGAGGGUCGGAUUUAUGGUUAGAAUGGGAAUAUUCCUAGUACCAUGCUCAAUUGAAUAUCGUAAUCUUAAUACGUUCUUAAUAGAUUGAUUCCACAAGAAUAUAGCGUUAAUAUAUUUUGAAUAGGCAAGUAGUAAUUCAGGAUAAUACACGAGAGGAAUUGUUCGAUUAAUUAGCAAUCAUGAGUGAAUGGUAUGAAAGGGAGAGUUGACUAAAACGUAAUAGGAUUGGUGAAUUGAUCACAAUCCUGGAAUAUUAGCCAAAUACACAAUAACUAUUUUGCUGCUUGAUUAAUUAGUUACUUGUUAGAAUUAUUGCUUAGUAUAAUCACACUUUUGAACUCUGAUUGACUCGACUGAAUAAUAAUCUUGGUGAAACUAUUGGGUAGUUAACACAAGUCUCUGUGGGUUCGACAUUUGAUUUAUCACUUUAUUACUUGUAUGACCACGUAUACUUGCGUGUGCGUUUGGGAGCAACAAGUUUUUGACUAUUCAUUCACUGGCCCGGCUAAUUUCAUUACAUUAGCAGUAUUUAAUGAACGUAAAGGAAUAUUUAACGGUACUUAACCAAAGUACUAAGAUUACUAUUUCUCUUUUUUAUUUGUAUGAUGUAGUUUUGACUGAGCAAGGAAUUUAGGAAAAAAGAUAGACUUUUCAAACUUAUCUUCUUAAUAUAUGUUAUAAAAUUAGUGUGGCUAUAAUCUUUUGAAACUUGUAACAUUUAUAUGACUAUAAAAGCUACUCAUUUAGAGUAAAAAUGAAAAGUUAAGAAUUAAAUUAUUCUCAACCAUAAUAAUAUUGUAGCAUUCUUUUUAAAUGACGAGAAAAUAAUAUCACACAAAUAACAGAGGCCAACAUUUUUUUCUCCUAAACGUAAUUAAGGACUAAAUACUUACGCAGCAAACAUUCAAGGGCUAUUAGCGUACUUUAUCUUUUACAAGUAAUUUAAUACUCCAUCAAGGACCCACCUUAGGAAUGUCAAACAUUGUCGACUGAUCGAUUCUAUUUUUCCUUAAGACAGAGAAAUUAAAUAAUUGUAAUUUUCAUUCUCAAACUCUCUAUGGCAGCAAGCUUCAUGCCUUUCUCCUCUAAAAAGAUAUUUCAAACAUUAUUAAUUAAGCACUAGUAUACAUUAAUUGUCAACGUGUCACGCACACAAUCAUCAAUUUUAUCGUCUUUCUCCUAUAAAAACCCCAUCCUAUGCUUCACAUUUCAUCACAACUGCAACAAGAACUUGUUUUAGUAUACUUUCUUUCACAAUAAAUUAAAGGUCUCUUCCAAACAACAAAUUAAGAAAACAUGUCUUGCUGCGGAGGAAGCUGUGGCUGUGGAUCUGGCUGCAAGUGCGGUAGUGGCUGCGGAGGGUAAUUAGUUCUGAUUCCGUACCAUCAUUUAUUAUUUUAAGCUACAGACAUUGAAAUCUAGAGUCACUAGCUAGGUUCAUAAUAAGCACUAUUUUAUUAUAUGUAUAAUUUUUUAUUCUUUUUCGCAUGUACUGUAUACAUAAUUUUCGUCAAAAGUACUAAUGAGUUUAAACAGGAUUCUCCAUUAAUUUGCCUGGGUGCCUGACCCAUUUUUUUUCUUUUUCACCCCACCAGAAAAACUAUAUAAGGAUAUCAAUUUGUUAAUUACUUGUGUUUGUUUUAUCAUAAUGUAGAUGUGGGAUGUACCCUGACUUAGAGAAGUCCACUACCUUUACCAUCAUUCAGGGUGUUGCUCCCAUGAACAAGUACGUCUAAUUUUACUUUUUUUUCCUAUGCUUUUUGGUUUAAACAUAUAAUUAUUAAAUUCGGAAAAGAAUCAAAGAAUAUUAUAAUAAGUAACUGAAAGGCUAAAAACGAAUUACUUGAAAUGUUGCAGCUUUGAGGAAUUCGGAGAGAAAGCAGCAGAAGGAGGAAAUGGAUGCAAGUGUGGAUCAAACUGUACCUGUGACCCUUGCAAUUGUUAAGAUAAUUCCACAAUAAUUUAAGCGUGUGCUAUAAAAGCUUUUGUAAUAAUAACGAUAAGACUGCAGCCAUGGAACUGUGAUCUGAUAUUAGCUCUUAGCUUUGUGUGUCGUGGC
rnacentral:lncRNA from 1 species